AUACGGAGGUUGCAAGCGUUGUUCGGAUUCACUGGGCGUAAAGGGCGUGUAGGCGGGAAUGCAAGCUGGAGGUGAAAGCCCCGGGCUCAACCCGGGAAUGGCCUCCAGAACUGCAUUUCUAGAGAAAGUCAGAGGCAGGUGGAAUUCCUGGUGUAGAGGUGAAAUUCGUAGAGAUCAGGAGGAACACCGGCGGCGAAGGCGGCCUGCUGGGGCUUUUCUGACGCUGAGGCGCGAAAGCGUGGGUAGCAAACAGGAUUAGAUACCCGGGUAGUCC
rnacentral:rRNA from 1 species